ensembl:lncRNA
GGAAGGGUCUCUCAGUCACCCUCAGACUGACAGCGAGGAGGUUUUAACCCAGUCACACAGUAUAGUGGAGAGGGAAGGGUCUCUCAGUCACCCUCAGACUGACAGCGAGGAGGUUUUAACCCAGUCACACAGUAUAGUGGAGAGGGAAGGGUCUCUCAAUCAGGAAGACGGCAUUGUUCACAGUGAGGAGACAGACAGAGUCCCGGAAAAGACAGGAACAGGGGAGGAGGUGGAGGAGAGGAGAGAUAGGGGUUCAGAAACCAGGGCAGAGGAGAGGGAUAGGGGUUCAGAAACCAGGACAGAGACAGAGGAGAGGAGGGAUAGGGGUUCAGAAACCAGGACAGAGACAGAGGAGGGGGAUCGGGGUUCAGAAACCAGGACAGAGACAGAGGAGAGGAGGGAUAGUGGUUCAGAAACCAGGACAGAGACAGAGGAGAGGAGGGAUAGGGGUUCAGAAACCAGGACAGGGACAGAGGAUAGGAGGGAUAAGGGUUCAGAAACCAGGACAGAGACAGAGGAGAGGAGGGAUAGUGGUUCAGAAACCAGGACAGAGACAGAGGAGAGGAGGGAUAGGGGUUCAGAAACCAGGACAGAGACAGAGGAGGGGGAUCGGGGUUCAGAAACCAGGACAGAGACAGAGGAGAGGAGGGAUAGUGGUUCAGAAACCAGGACAGAGACAGA